rnacentral:rRNA from 1 species
CCAAGGAUGUUUUCAUUAAUCAAGAACGAAAGUUAGGGGAUCGAAGACGAUCAGAUACCGUCGUAGUCUUAACCAUAAACGAUGCCGACCAGCGAUUAGGAGACGUUGAAUACAAAACACCACCAUCGGUGCGGUCGUCCUUGGCGUCGGUCUUUCGGGGCCGGCGCGGGGACGGCUUAGCCCGGUGGCACCGGUGAAU